UCCGGCUUGUGGCCGACAGUCUCUUUAGAGUGCCGCCUUUCGGCAUGGCAACUAAGGAUUAGGGUUGCGCUCGUUGCGGGACUUAACCCAACAUCUCACGACACGAGCUGACGACAGCCAUGCAGCACCUGUCUCCAGGCUCCCUUUCGGGCACACUCCCAUCUCUGGGAGCUUCCUGGCAUGUCAAGGGUAGGUAAGGUUUUUCGCGUUGCAUCGAAUUAAUCCACAUAAUCCACCGCUUGUGCGGGUCCCCGUCAAUUCCUUUGAGUUUUAACCUUGCGGCCGUACUCCCCAGGCGGUCAACUUCACGCGUUAGCUUCGUUACCAAGGGAAUCAAUCCCCCGACAACCAGUUGACAUAGUUUAGGGCGUGGACUAC
rnacentral:misc_RNA from 1 species